rnacentral:rRNA from 1 species
UACAGGGGGGGCAAGCGUUGUUCGGAAUUACUGGGCGUAAAGGGCUCGUAGGCGGCCAACUAAGUCACACGUGAAAUCCCCAGGCUUAACCUGGGAACUGCGUGUGAUACUGGUUGGCUUGAGUUUGGGAGAGGGACGCGGAAUUCCAGGUGUAGCGGUGAAAUGCGUAGAUAUCUGGAGGAACACCGGUGGCGAAGGCGGCAUUCUGGACUGUAACUGACACUGAGGAACGAAAGCCAGGGGAGCAAACGGG